CAAUAGCGUAUAUUUAAGUUGUUGCAGUUAAAAAGCUCGUAGUUGGAUUUCGGAUGGGACUUGCCGGUCCGUCGUUUCGAUGUGCACUGGCCAGUCCUAUCUUGUUGUCGGGGACUAGCUCCUGGGCUUCACUGUCCGGGACUAGGAGCUGACGAGGUUACUUUGAGUAAAUUAGAGUGUUCAAAGCAAGCCUACGCUCUGAAUACAUUAGCAUGGAAUAACACGAUAGGACUCUGGCUUAUCUUGUUGGUCUGUGAGACCAGAGUAAUGAUUAAGAGGGACAGUCGGGGACAUUCGUAUUUCAUUGUCAGAGGUGAAAUUCUUGGAUUUAUGAAAGACGAACUUCUGCGAAAGCAUUUGCCAAGGAUGUUUUCAUUAA
rnacentral:rRNA from 1 species